GAGGACUCGAUGGGACUGGAAACUUCAGCGACAUUUCAUUUAAAUGAAUACCCUCACACUAUUGCUAUUUGAGGCACAAGGCGGGCUUGAAGGUAGAAGCGCUUUGGAGCGCAACGGUAACAUCUGCCAUCCCGACUCCAGGAAACUGUACUGCAAAGACGGACAAGGGCGGUGACCUGUGUGGCCAAACAUGGAAUAACUUGCCAGUGAGAGUAUUAGCCUGUUGGCGAGAUCUUUGUCGCACGUGGAUCCCCCACGGCUCGGUUCGUUCGGUGCCAUCUUCAUCAUACUCAAAUCUGCCCUAGGCGCGGGACUGCUUAACUUCCCGUGGGCUUUCGAGAAGGCGGGAGGAGUCAAUAAAGCCAUCAGCGUUGAAAUGGCAUUUUUGGCUUCCUGACAUUUGGCCGUACAGUGGCGGCUGAUAUUCUGAUGUCAUAUCCUGGAAAUUUAGUGGUCAUGAUCAUUGCCAGACUGCUAUUUGGAAUAUCAAUCAUCACCAUCUAUCCAAUUAGAUACUUCUGUUGGGAAGGUCUGUCAUUCUGGACAUGAUGUUGCGAAUUCGUCGCCAUCAGCGCGGUGGGGUCACACACUCGUUUGAGAACUGCUGCAGAGUGAUUCUGACUGUCAUCUGGAUUACAGUCACCCUCCUCAUCGCCAUGUUCGUCCCUGACAUGAGUGAGGUUAUCGGAGGAAUCAGUGCUUUCUUUACCUUUCCUGGGCUUUGCCUGGUUUUCACUAUGUAGUCAGAUUCUGUGUCGCCCAGAGUCAGGGUGGUGUGCACUGUGUGGGGUGUGAUUACUGUAAUUGUUGGCGCCUUCAUUUUUGGACAGAGCACUACCAUAUGGAGAUCGUCCACAGAUCCAUCAGAACCAACAAAAUCACCAGCACUGUCAUCUGUCAUUAUCAAUAUCAUUACGAUUGUAUCCGGUUUCUGUUUGAGGUUAAUCAUGUUUUUAAAGUUGAGGUUUAUGGGAGUCAGAAGUCUAGAAUAAGAUAUUGAUGUAGUGCUGCUAUAUCAACACUGCAGGUUUAAAAAAAAAAAUUGACUAGGCAAAUUCUUAUUUUCAAGGACGGCCUAGGAACAGUAGGUUAACAGUCUGUUCAGGGGCAGGAUGACAGAUUUGUACCUUGUCAGCUCAGGGAUUUGAACUUGCAACCAUUUUGGUUACUCGUCCAAUGCUCUACCCUGCCACCCCAAGUAAGGCACAUAACCAACUUAUAUUUUAUUUGCUUGUAUCUCAAACGUAUUCAGUAUGGAGCAUAUAUGACCCUUGUU